rnacentral:rRNA from 1 species
CGAACGAAGCACUUUAACCUGAUUCUCCCGAUGAAGGUUUUUGUGACUGAGUGGCGGACGGGUGAGUAACGCGUGGGUAACCUGCCUCAUAGAGGGGGAUAACAGUUAGAAAUGACUGCUAAUACCGCAUAAGACCCCCGGAGCCGCAUGGCUCAGUGGGAAAAACUCCGGUGGUAUGAGAUGGACCCGCGUCUGAUUAGGUAGUUGGUGGGGUAACGGCCUACCAAGCCAACGAUCAGUAGCCGACCUGAGAGGGUGACCGGCCACAUUGGGACUGAGACACGGCCCAAACUCCUACGGGAGGCAGCAUUGGGGGAAUAUUGCACAAUGGGGGAAACCCUGAUGCAGCGACGCCGCGUGAGCGAAGAAGUAUUUCGGUAUGUAAAGCUCUAUCAGCAGGGAAGAAAAUGACGGUACCUGACUAAGAAGCACCGGCUAAAUACGUGCCAGCAGCCGCGGUAAUACGUAUGGUGCAAGCGUUAUCCGGAUUUUACUGGGUGUAAAGGGAGCGUAGACGGCUGUGUAAGUCUGAAGUGAAAGCCCGGGGCUCAACCCCGGGACUGCUUUGGAAACUAUGCAGCUAGAGUGUCGGAGAGGUAAGUGGAAUUCCCAGUGUAGCGGUGAAAUGCGUAGAUAUUGGGAGGAACACCAGUGGCGAAGGCGGCUUACUGGACGAUGACUGACGUUGAGGCUCGAAAGCGUGGGGAGCAAACAGGAUUACGCUACCCUGGUAGUCCACGCCGUAAACGAUGACUACUAGGUGUCGGGGAGCAAAGCUCUUCGGUGCCGCAGCAAACGCAAUAAGUAGUCCACCCGGGGAGUACGUUCGCAAGAAUGAAACUCAAAGGAAUUGACGGGGACUCGCACAAGCGGUGGAGCAUGUGGUUUAAUUCGAAGCAACGCGAAGAACCUUACCUGCUCUUGACAUCCCGGUGACCGGCAUGUAAUGAUGCCUUUUCUUCGGAACACCGGUGACAGGUGGUGCAUGGUUGUCGUCAGCUCGUGUCGUGAGAUGUUGGGUUAAGUCCCGCAACGAGCGCAACCCUUAUCUUCAGUAGCCAGCAAUUCGGAUGGGCACUCUGGAGAGACUGCCAGGGAUAACCUGGAGGAAGGUGGGGAUGACGUCAAAUCAUCAUGCCCCUUAUGAGCAGGGCUACACACGUGCUACAAUGGCGUAAACAAAGGGAAGCGAGCCUGCGAGGGUAAGCAAAUCUCAAAAAUAACGUCUCAGUUCGGAUUGUAGUCUGCAACUCGACUACAUGAAGCUGGAAUCGCUAGUAAUCGCGAAUCAGCAUGUCGCGGUGAAUACGUUCCCGGGUCUUGCACUCACGGCCCCUC